GACGUAGGGCGCGAGCGUUGUCCGGAUUUAUUGGGCGUAAAGAGCUCGUAGGCGGCUUGUCGCGUCGUCCGUGAAAACUUGGGGCUCAACCCCAAGCUUGCGGUCGAUACGGGCAGGCUAGAGUUCGGUAGGGGAGACUGGAAUUCCUGGUGUAGCGGUGAAAUGCGCAGAUAUCAGGAGGAACACCAAUGGCGAAGGCAGCUCACUGGGACGAUACUGACGCUGAGACGCGAAAGCGUGGGGAGCAAACAGG
rnacentral:rRNA from 1 species